rnacentral:misc_RNA from 1 species
GAUGAAGAACGUAGCGGAAUGCGAUAAGUAAUGUGAAUUGCAGAAUUCAGUGAAUCAUCGAAUCUUUGAACGCACAUUGCGCCCAUUAGUAUUCUAGUGGGCAUGCCUGUUCGAGCGUCAUUAAGUCCACUUAAGCCCUGCUUAGUGUUGGGAGACUGCUCCAGCGGUGCUACCCUGUAGCUACCCUGCAGCUCCUCAAAGACAGCGGCGGAGUUGUGGUAUCCUCUGAGCUUAGUAACUUGUUCUAGCUUUCGAGUACACCACUUCCCCUGCCGUAAAACCCUUAAUUUUUAAUGGUUGACCUCGGAUCAGGUAGGAAUACCCGCUGAACUUAAGCAUAUCAAUAAGCGGAGGA